UACGGAGGGUGCAAGCGUUAUCCGGAUUUACUGGGUUUAAAGGGUGCGUAGGUGGGUCUGUAAGUCAGUGGUGAAAUCUCCGGGCUUAACCCGGAAACUGCCAUUGAUACUAUAGAUCUUGAAUAUCCUGGAGGUGAGCGGAAUAUGUCAUGUAGCGGUGAAAUGCUUAGAUAUGACAUAGAACACCAAUUGCGAAGGCAGCUCACUACGGGAUCAUUGACACUGAGGCACGAAAGCGUGGGGAUCAAACAGG
rnacentral:rRNA from 1 species